GACGAGAAGCUCUGUUUUAGAUUUUUCUAAAUAUUGAGUUGUUAUUAUUAGUAUCGAAAGUUUAGAAAACAAGGUUACAUAGAAAGGACAUACAGCUCCUCCUGCAGAGUGCCUUAGUAGAAACCAGAGCUUUCCACCAGCUGUUCCAGCACACUUCAACCUCUACCUGACAUUAUACAGUGAACUGAAUGAAGACCAGCCUUCACAGACAGUGUGCUGGGGGUUUAUAAAGGACUUGAUUGGGACGACAUGAAUUUAAGAUCACUUGAAUUCAAGCUCUCUCUCUCUCUCUCUUCAGUCUCUCCUCAGGUGUCUCUGCUGCAGAAGUCUUCCUCGUCUCCAGUCACGUGUCAUGCUACAGGUUUUUACCCCAGUGGAGUAACAAUCUCCUGGAUGAGAAAUGGACAAGAUCAUGAUGAGGAUGUGGAUCUCGGUGAACUUCUACCCAAUGAAGACGGGACCUUUCAGAAGACGAGCACCCUCAAUGUUAAACCUGAGGAGUGGAAGAAGAACAAGUUCAGCUGUGUGGUGGAGCACCAGGGCGAAACCAAGACAGCAAAUGAGAUCAUUACUAACCCAGGAGAGUCUGUUCCCAUCGGCAUCAUUGUUGGUGCUCUUGCUGCUGUUGUUCUGCUGGUUAUCAUUGGUGUCGCUGGAUAUAUGGUGUAUCAGAAGAAAAAAGGCUUCAAACCUGUCAGCGGCUCUGAUGACGGCUCAAACAGCUCGGCUCAUACAGUUCCACAAGCAUAAAGAUGAGACCAGACGUGAGAGAUGAAGAGAGAUGAAAACUUUUCCUGCUGGCUUACAAAACUGCACAUAAACACACACAUUCUCUCUCUCACACACACACACACACACACACACACACACACACACACACAUUCUCUCUCUCACACACACACACACACACACACACAAUCAAAGAUUUCUGGGAAUGAUCUGUCUUAUAUAUUAAUUACAUAAAAAAAGUAAUGUUUUUGUUUCUUCACACUUGCUGAUCAUCUUAUAGUUUUCAGUUUAUUAACUUGUUGAUUGUUAAAAAUGCAGAAAUAUGACAUGUUGGUCACAGAAGCUAAAUUGUAAAAUGUAUAUUUCUCUUCAGUGACAGAAAAAACGAAUACAAAUGAUUGGUUUGCAAGGUUGUUUGAUUUGUAGGAUCUGUGACAGAUUGAUUUGUAGGUUUAUGAUGCAGUACUCUCCAUGAAAAAGGAAUUAGAAAAAAUGAUUAAACUGAAAUGUGUAUAAUCGAUGUAAACAUCUGGGUACAACAGCCUGUCUCAGUCUAAGAAGAUAAAUCUCUGUUUAUAUGUAGUUUCUAGAGACAAUUUCUGUGGGAUAAAUUAUGAAAAACUAGUUGUUUAUCAAAUGCAACAUUUAAAUAACUUUAAGUUAAAAAGAUUUGAUGAUGUGUGGAACUGGGCUUUUCCUUCAAUUAAAUUACACAAUCCGUAUGCUUUGUAUUUUAUUCCUUGUAUGGGAUUAUUGGGCUUUUUCUGUUUUUACAUUCUUAUUUGUUUUAAAUGAUUUAGAUGAUAAGCUGAACUUCAGAAUAGUUCACUCAUGUUAAACAAUUGUAGAUGCUGUUAUUAAACAUUAACAUCUGAACAAUACAGUAAACUAGAUAUUUCCUUUAUUUGAGGUUAGUAAAGAUUAACGUUGAAUUUGAAGUUGAUUUAACAUGAAUGUGGAUGUAAACUGGUUGCCUUAAAAGUUGUAAUGUUGAUUCUUUAAAGAAAAUAAACCUCACAGAAAGGA